rnacentral:rRNA from 1 species
GAUGAACGCUGGCGGCGUGCCUAAUACAUGCAAGUCGAGCGAACAGAUGAGGAGCUUGCUCCUCUGACGUUAGCGGCGGACGGGUGAGUAACACGUGGAUAACCUACCUAUAAGACUGGGAUAACUUCGGGAAACCGGAGCUAAUACCGGAUAAUAUAUUGAACCGCAUGGUUCAAUAGUGAAAGACGGUUUUGCUGUCACUUAUAGAUGGAUCCGCGCCGCAUUAGCUAGUUGGUAAGGUAACGGCUUACCAAGGCAACGAUGCGUAGCCGACCUGGGAGGUGGAGCGCCCACCCGGGAGUUAGAACCGGCUCAGGCGUCCUCGGGAAGGCGCCAUAAGGAAUUCUUCCGCAAGGGGGAAAGGCUGAGCGGAGAAACGCGGCGGGAGUAAUGAGGGUCUUCGGUUCGAAAAACUUUUUUAUAGGGGAAAAAAAAUUGUGUAAGUAACUAGGCCCUUCUUGACGGAACUUAAUAAAAAGGCCAGGGCUAACUAGGUC